GACGAACGCUGGCGGCGUGCUUAACACAUGCAAGUCGAACGAAGUGGCGAACGGGUGAGUAACGCGUAAUAAACCUGCCCUUCAGAGGGGGACAACAGUUGGAAACGACUCCUAAUACCGCAUACUGAAGGAGGGGAUUGGGUCUGAUUAGCUAGUUGGAGGGGUAACGGCCCACCAAGGCGAUGAUCAGUAGCCGGUCUGAGAGGAUGAACGGCCACAUUGGAACUGAGACACGGCCCAGACUCCUACGGGAGGCAGCAGUGGGGAAUCUUCCGCAAUGGACGAAAGUCUGACGGAGCAACGCCGCGUGAGUGAUGAAGGCCUUCGGGUUGUAAAGCUCUGUUGUAAGGGAAGCGGUAUCUUACCAGAAAGCAACGGCUAACUACGUGCCAGCAGCCGCGGUAAUAC
rnacentral:rRNA from 1 species